CUUUCUUGCGGUUUCUUAUCUGCGGUGAAAAAGACAUGAGUUUGAGUGGCAAGAUCCGUAAAGUUUGCAAUAGGAAUAGGCCCUCUGCUGUGGUGGAAUCUGUGAAGGGUGCUAACAGGAGGGAAGAGGCAGAAGCCGAGAAGGAAUCUCUUUUGCCUGCAGAAGAGAGUGGAGGAGUGGCGACCGGUAGGAGGAAGAAGGGCUCGGCGAGGAACGUCCAGUGGAAUGAUUGCAAAGGCGACAAUCUGGUGGAGGUUUUGGAAUUCCAGCCCAGUGAUUCAAGCGACUCUGAGGAUGAGUAUUUGGAUUCUUGUUUGUGCACCAUUAUGUAAAUCUUCUGCACAGAUUACAUCGUUUCUGCAGUAGAAGUAUUCAAUACCAACAGAUUGUGGGAGGCUCUGAUCACAGAAUACAUAGUCUGCAUGCUUGCUCACUAUUUAUUUAGUUGAUGUAGUGGAAAAUCUUGAGGAUGACCUUUAUUAUUGCUCGACUUGAAAGUGUUGCUGCCAAUCAAAGAGAGAAUCUUUCUUGACAUUUUAAACUUGUUUUGUCAGAAGAAUUAUGCACAUUCCAUACUUGAAAGUGUUGCUGCCAAUCAAAGAGAGAAUCUUUCUGUUAUUA